rnacentral:lncRNA from 1 species
GUGUUUACAUAUUUUGACAGGUCGAGUUGCUCUUGCAGGAACGACGAUAAGAUGAAUACAUGCACCAUGGAAAUAUUGUAGAUCUAAUUUGUAAACUGUCGUGGAACCUGUGUUCGGCUCGCACAUUUCCUAUUCAACAGGAAUGCAUAAUGGAGACCAACAGUACAGAAAGAUGAAGAUGUAAAUUGAUCCAAAUAAGCAAUGGGACAAUGAAUGCUAUAAUUACCAAGAAGAAGACUGCAUUUUUAUACAGUUAAAGUAUGAUAUGGGGAAUAAAUACCCUCAAUGCAGCCUUAUGGAGCUUUGGCUAGACCAUGAACAGUAGACAUCAAAAAGAUGCUCAUCUAAAGGGCCACAAGUGUUUGAGGCAUUGGUCAACAAAAAAAACUGAACUAUUUGAUGGAUCAUACAGAAUGUACAAUCACAUUUCCAGAAUCAGAGAAGUAGAAGUAUCAAAGUAUUAGGGAGAUAGGAAAAUAUGCAUCAUGCAUGAAGAACCUGCCUU